CCUACGGGUGGCAGCAGUGAGGAAUAUUGGUCAAUGGCCGGGAGGCUGAACCAGCCAAGUCGCGUGAGGGAAGACGGCCCUACGGGUUGUAAACCUCUUUUGUCAGGGAGCAAGGUGCAGGUCGGGACCUGCUGUGAGAGUACCUGAAGAAAAAGCAACGGCUAACUCCGUGCCAGCAGCCGCGGUAAUACGGAGGAUGCGAGCGUUAUCCGAUUGGAGUGGGGUUAAAGGGUGCGCAGGCGGAGGGACAAGUCAGCGGUAAAAUCGCGGGGAUCAACACAGCCCCGCCGUUGAAACUGUGUCCCUUGAGUGCGCGAAGGGUAGGCGGAAUGCGUGGUGUAGCGGUGAAAUGCAUAGAUAUCACGCAGAACUCCGGUCGCGAAGGCAGCCUACCGGCGCGCAACUGACGCUCAUGCACGAAAGCGUGGGUAUCGAACAGGAUUAGAUACCCGAGUAGUC
rnacentral:rRNA from 1 species